rnacentral:rRNA from 1 species
GACCGGCGCACGGGUGAGUAACACGUAUGGAACCUGCCCGUAGCAGGGGGAUAAGCGGAAGAAAUUCCGUCUAAUACCGCGUAAUAACUCCGAGAGGCAUCUCUUGGGGUUUAAAGGGUAACACCGGCUACGGAUGGCCAUGCGGCGCAUUAGCUAGUUGGCGGGGUAACGGCCCACCAAGGCGACGAUGCGUAGGGGUUCUGAGAGGAAGGUCCCCCACACUGGUACUGAGACACGGACCAGACUCCUACGGGAGGCAGCAGUGAGGAAUAUUGGUCAAUGGGCGCGAGCCUGAACCAGCCAAGUCGCGUGAGGGAAGACGGUCCUAUGGAUUGUAAACCUCUUUUGUCGGGGAGCAAAAGACGUCACGUGUGGCGUUCCGAGAGUACCCGAAGAAAAAGCAUCGGCUAACUCCGUGCCAGCAGCCGCGGUAAUACGGAGGAUGCGAGCGUUAUCCGGAUUUAUUGGGUUUAAAGGGUGCGCAGGCGGAAGAUCAAGUCAGCGGUAAAAUUGAGAGGCUCAACCUCUUCGAGCCGUUGAAACUGGCGUUCUUGAGUGGAAGAGAAGUAUGCGGAAUGCGUGGUGUAGCGGUGAAAUGCAUAGAUAUCACGCAGAACCCCGAUUGCGAAGGCAGCAUGCCGGCUUCCGACUGA